rnacentral:lncRNA from 1 species
CUUGCACAUGCUCUCUUGCCUGCCACCAUGUAAGACAUGCCUUUGUUCCUGCUUUACCUUCCACCAUGAUUGUGAGGCCUCCCCAGCCAUGUGGAAAUUUACCCAGUGUUGGUUUCAUCUACCUGCUGCCCUACUGCAGAAUCAGAAAGUGGGAAUCUGCUUUGUGGCGGGAUGACGUUCACCAAGCAUCGUUCAGGGCUGGUUCACCAUGAUGCCUGUCCAAACCCCUGAGCACCUAGUGUCUGUACCACACAUGAUAACCACAGGAAAAAUGGUUAUCCAGACCAGCCCUUUAACUCAAGAAUCACAAAUGCAACAUCUAGCAUGGAGAAGCAGGACAGCCCUUCGUAUGUUUGAAGACUGCUCUCUCAUGCCCUCUGCCUUUCUUCCUGAGACCUUCCUGGAAUCAUAGCUCUUCUCUCUGUGCUCAUUCUGUCUGACCCUUCUAAAACGCAAAGAUUGGUACCAACCAGCAUCCUCCUGGGUCAGGAGCAAGGACAGCGAAACCAUGACCACUGAAGUGUUUCUUUUUAACUACAAAUCAUCUAAACUCUCCUUAAAAUUAUUCAAUCUUUUUCCAGGCAAAGAGAUUUUCUUUGGUGAAGAGAAAAAUUGCUUAAAGUGGUUUGACCCACACCUCUCUCUCUGGCCUCCUUCCUCUUCCUAGAAAUCCAGCUAUUGAUUCAGCUUCUACUCAUGCCUGUAAUCUCUUGCUCAAGCGUCACUUCCUCAACGAAGCCGUCUCAGACCAGCUACCAGUCUGGGUCAAGCUCCUCUGUUGAAUGAUAUUUUCCUUUAGAACAUUCAGCUCUGUCUGUAAUUACACACAGUUACUGUGACUUCGUUAUUUGAUGCCUGUGUCCCCGUCUAGAUUGAUAAGCUCUGUGAGAGCAGAGUGCAAGCCUGUAUAGCCUAGCCCAGCUAAUAAAUGGGUAGGUGGUGAGUUGUGAGUGAAUGUGUAGGGGAGUCUGACUUGUCAAUAUUCUGCUUUAUUAUCAGAACAAAUGAAAACUCCAGUUUUUGGUCAUUUUCAUAUGGCUGGAUACCUUCCCCUUCUCAACCUGGCACUUGUAGAAUAAAUUUUAUAACCUAAAUGCAAGACCAGUAUGUAUGUCUCUUAAAGGAUACCUUGACAACUUUACCCUGCAUUCUAGUUUAGUAAACCAUAUUUGAAGCUUGAUUUCAUUG